AAUGAACGCUGGCGGCAUGCCUAACACAUGCAAGUCGAGCGAACAGACGGGGAGCUUGCUCCCCUGACGUUAGCGGCGGACGGGUGAGUAACACGUGGAUAACCUACCUAUAAGACUGGGAUAACUUCACGAAACCUGAGCCAAUAUCCGAUAAUAUAUUGAACCGCAUGGUUCAAUCGUCAAAGCGGGUUUUGCUGUACCUUAGACAUGGAUCCGCGUCGCAUUAGCUAGUUGGUAAGGUAACGGCUUACCAAGGCUACGAUGCGUAGCCGACCUGAGAGGGUGAUCGGCCACACUGGAACUGAGACACGGUCCAGACUCCUACGGGAGGCAGCAGUAGGGAAUCUUCCGCAAUGGGCGAAAGCUUGACGGAGCAACGCCGCGUGAGUGAUGAAGGUCUUCGGAUCGUAAAACUCUGUUAUUAGGGAAGAACAAAUGUGUAAGUAACUAUGCACGUCUUGACGGUACCUAAACAGAAAGCCACGGCUAACUACGUG
rnacentral:rRNA from 1 species